CAGAACAUACAACAUUAUAACUGGGGGACCAUUAAUAUCACAACUUAGUUUGAGGAGAUAGCAUCUUCUUCACCUUCAGAUCCAGAACUACCACUAGAUUGAUCUUGAGAAUUAGACCUCUCACAAAACUCUUUGUUGUUCUAGUCAGCAAUCUCCUCCAGGAUGUUCACCACAAACUCCUUCACUAAACCUUCAAAACACUGGGGCAAAGCAACAAAAGUUUUCAUCAGACCAGCAGUCUUGAUCAAUUCCAU
rnacentral:lncRNA from 1 species